rnacentral:rRNA from 1 species
CCCUUAGAUGUUCUGGGCCGCACGCGCGCUACACUGACGAAUGCAACGAGCUUAUAACCUUGGCCGAAAGGUCUGGGUAAUCUCCAAAUUUCGUCGUGAUGGGGAUAGAUUAUUGCAAUUAUUAAUCUUCAACGAGGAAUGCCUAGUAAGCGCAAGUCAUCAGCUUGCGUUGAGUACGUCCCUGCCCUUUGUACACACCGCCCGUCGCUCCUACCGAUUGAAUGGUCCGGUGAAGCGUUCGGACCGUGGCCUUUGGACGGUUCGCCGUCUGUUGGCUGCGGGAAGUUCGUUAAACCUUAUCAUUUAGAGGAAGGAGAAGUCGUAACA